rnacentral:rRNA from 1 species
GAUGAACGCUAGCUACAGGCUUAACACAUGCAAGUCGAGGGGAAACGGCAUCGAAAGCUUGCUUUUGAUGGGCGUCGACCGGCGCACGGGUGAGUAACGCGUAUCCAACCUGCCCAUCACUUGGGAAUAACCUUGCGAAAGUAAGACUAAUGCCCAAUGACAUCCCACGAAGGCAUCCGAAUGGGAUUAAAGAUUUAUCGGUGAUGGAUGGAGAUGCGUCUGAUUAGCUUGUUGGCGGGGUGACGGCCCACCAAGGCAACGAUCAGUAGGGGUUCUGAGAGGAAGGUCCCCCACAUUGGAACUGAGACACGGUCCAAACUCCUACGGGAGGCAGCAGUGAGGAAUAGUGGUCAAUGGGCGGGAGCCUGAACCAGCCAAGUAGCGUGCAGGAUGACGGCCCUAUGGGUUGUAAACUGCUUUUAUAAGGGAAUAAAGUGGGUCACGUGUGACUUUUUGCAUGUACCUUAUGAAUAAGGACCGGCUAAUUCCGUG